GCUUACGAUUUAUUAAGACUCCUGUGCCUGAUUCUCAUUAUCAUACACAAUACAGAAAAGCCAAGCAUUUAAAAACACUUGUAAAUAUGAGAAGGGUGAAAAUUAGGUGAUGAAUGUUCUGGAUGUUCUUGUGCCAAGUGAAGCAUUAUUUUCUGACGGCAAAGCGAAGGGUUUAAAGGGGCGGUGUACUGGCUACAGUUUGGGUAAUUCCCCAAUUUGCACAGUUACCAGACUGCAAGGUGUGCAGAGUAAGUUAAUGCAGUGCACACAUGCAUAGCAUUCUUAUAUAGACUGUCAUUUGUAGUCUUCAGUGUACAAAUGCAUGCAAACUGUGCACAAACUGCACCCAGGCGCAAGGGCUCCCACAGAACACAGUUUCCACUUAUCUUACCUGGGGAUCUCUUCUCCUUGCACCCGACUGCAGCCUGCCGCUCCCCACCUUUCCACCUGUAGCAUAUCCACCAGCCCUGGAUCUCCGUGCAGUAUUUUGACCGCACAGACGAGAAUCACAAUCCCGGCGUCCAAAGUCACAACUUCAAAAAGGCUCUCUGAAUUAAAGGAUGUGGUGUCCGGUUUUUGAGAAGAUUUUUAGGAGGUGUAUCAGCCUUUCACCGCUGGCAGUUUACUGUGCAGAUGAAGAGAAUAAGGCUGGGUUUGCUGUAUAUUUGUAGCCCUGGUGUGCUGACAUGUGAUGACAGAAGGCUGGCAGCCUCCUCCAUCUGGCCUCGCUCUUGGAAGCAGUCUGGUUCACCUAUCUGUGUGUGUCUGAAACCCUGGCUCUUGGCUGACUGCCCUACACCAUAAAUUACUGUGUUCAUGAU
rnacentral:lncRNA from 1 species